AACGAACGCUGGCGGCAGGCCUAACACAUGCAAGUCGAGCGAGGACUUCGGUUCUAGCGGCGGACGGGUGGGUAACGCGUGGGAAUGUGCCCUUCUCUACGGAAUAGCCCUGGGAAACUGGGAGUAAUACCGUAUACGCCCUAUUGGGGAAAGAUUUAUCGGAGAAGGAUCAGCCCGCGUUGGAUUAGGUGGUUGGUGGGGUAAUGGCCUACCAAGCCGACGAUCCAUAGCUGGUUUGAGAGGAUGAUCAGCCACACUGGGACUGAGACACGGCGCAGACUCCUACGGGAGGCAGCAGUGGGGAAUCUUAGAAAAUGGGGGCAACCAUGAUCUAGCCAUGCCGCGUGAGUGAUGAAGGCCUUAGGGUUGUAAAGCUCUUUCAGCUGGGAAGAUAAUGACGGUACCAGCAGAAGAAGCCCCGGCUAACUCCGUG
rnacentral:rRNA from 1 species